CGAAAGCCUGACGGAGCAAUACCGCGUGAGGGAUGAAAGCCUGUGGGUUGUAAACCUCUUUUCUCAAGGAAGAAGUUCUGACGGUACUUGAGGAAUAAGCAUCGGCUAACUCCGUGCCAGCAGCCGCGGUAAUACGGGGGAUGCAAGCGUUAUCCGGAAUGAUUGGGCGUAAAGCGCCUGUAGGUUGUUUAUUAAGUCCGUUGUUAAAGCCUAGGGCUUAACCCUAGAAAAGCAAUGGAAACUAGUAGACUAGAGUAUGGCAGGGGUAGAGGGAAUUUCUAGUGUAGCGGUGAAAUGCGUAGAUAUUAGAAAGAACACCGGUGGCGAAAGCGCUCUACUGGACCAUUACUGACACUCAGAGGCGAAAGCUAGGGUAGCAAAAG
rnacentral:rRNA from 1 species